rfam:Zea mays cultivar B73 chromosome 7, whole genome shotgun sequence.
ACUCUAGUAUUAACAUUAAUCCACAUGUGUUGAGAUGGAUUGAAGUGUAAAUUAGUUUAAGUUACACUCCAAUCCAUCCGAUUACAUGUGGAUUAUGGUUAAUACUAGA